rnacentral:RNase_P_RNA from 1 species
GGAGUAGGCGAGGCGGUUGCCCCUUCUUCUCUUCGUGAGAAAGAGGGGGAGGAAAGUCCGAACUCCAAAGGGCAGGAUGGUCGCUAACAGCGACUCCGGGCAACCGGAGGAAAGUGCCACAGAAAAUAUACCGCCUCAUGAAAUGACGGUUUCGCGCCUUUCGUGGGGUAAGGGUGAAAAGGUGAGGUAAGAGCUCACCGUCCUGGUGGUGACAUCAGGAGCGUGGUAAACCCCAUCCGGAGCAAGACCAAAUUGGCCCUUUUUGGGAUGGCCCGUCCUAUGGGGCGGGUAGGUCGCUCAUCCCCUUGAGCAAUCAAGGGGUUAGAUAAAUAACCGCCCUCGCUAAGCCUUUAGCGGGAACAGAAUUCGGCUUACGUCCUGCUCCAGCC